AGCGAACGCUGGCGGCAGGCCUAACACAUGCGAGUCGAACGGACCUUUCGGGGUUAGUGGCGGACGGGUGAGUAACACGUGGGAACGUGCCUUUAGGUUCGGAAUAGCUCCUGGAAAAGGGUGGUAAUGCCGAAUGUGCCCUUAGGGGGAAAGAUUUAUCGCCUUUAGAGCGGCCCGCGUCUGAUUGGCUAGUUGGUGAGGUAAUGGCACACCAAGGCUACGAUCAGUAGCUGGUCUGAGAGGAUGACCAACCACAUUGGGACUGAGACACUGCCCGAACUCCUACGGGAGGCAGCAGUGGGGAAUCUAGCGCAAUGGGCGAAAGCCUGACGCAGCCAUGCCGCGUGGAUGAUGAAGGUCUUAGGAUUGUAAAAUCCUUUCACCGGUGAAGAUAAUGACUGUAGCCGGAGAAGAAGCCCCGGCUAACUUCGUGCCAGCAGCCGCAGUAA
rnacentral:rRNA from 1 species